rnacentral:rRNA from 1 species
GACGGAGGGUGCAAGUGUUAUCCGGAAUCACUGGGCGUAAAGCGUCUGUAGGUGGUUUCAAAAGUCCACUGUUAAAGAUUGAAGCUUAACUUCAAAAAUGCCGUGGAAACUUUGAAACUUGAGUAUGAUAGGGGUAGAGGGAAUUUCCAGUGGAGCGGUGAAAUGCGUAGAUAUUGGAAAGACCACCAAUGGCGAAGGCACUCUACUGGGCCAUUACUGACACUGAGAGACGAAAGCUAGGGGAGCAAAUGGG